AUUGAACGCUGGCGGCAGGCCUAACACAUGCAAGUCGAGCGGAUGAAGGGAGCUUGCUCCUGGAUUCAGCGGCGGACGGGUGAGUAAUGCCUAGGAAUCUGCCUGGUAGUGGGGGAUAACGUCCGGAAACGGGCGCUAAUACCGCAUACGUCCUGAGGGAGAAAGUGGGGGAUCUUCGGACCUCACGCUAUCAGAUGAGCCUAGGUCGGAUUAGCUAGUUGGUGGGGUAAAGGCCUACCAAGGCGACGAUCCGUAACUGGUCUGAGAGGAUGAUCAGUCACACUGGAACUGAGACACGGUCCAGACUCCUACGGGAGGCAGCAGUGGGGAAUAUUGGACAAUGGGCGAAUGCCUGAUCCAGCCAUGCCGCGUGUGUGAAGAAGGUCUUCGGAUUGUAAAGCACUUUAAGUUGGGAGGAAGGGCAGUAAGUUAAUACCUUGCUGUUUUGACGUUACCAACAGAAUAAGCCCCGGCUAACUUCGUG
rnacentral:rRNA from 1 species